rnacentral:lncRNA from 1 species
UAUUUUUUAAAAUUUAACUAUUGCCGGCCAUCAGUGUUCCAAAAAGAAUUUUGCAUUGGGACACGAAAAAAGUACCUAGUGCCGUCCAUUACAUAGCCAGCACCCAAAUUUUUUUUUUAAAUUUAAACUAGUGUUGGCCAUCAAUGUAAUAAAGUAAAAAAAAUUGCAUUGGGACACGAAAAAAGUACCUGAAUUUUUUUUAUACAUCUCUAGUGCCGACCAUUAAAUGGCCAGUACCAAUUUUUUUAUUUAAAUACUAGUAUUUUUGUAUACCAGUAUUGUAGGCACCCAAAUUUACUCGGGCCCAAAAUCAUUAAUCAACCCAAACACAAAACAGAAUAAAAAAAACAACAAAAAAAUCCAAUCUACAAAUGGCCUAAACAAAAAUUUUAAACCCCUAGCCCAAAACUCAGCUAGCCCGAUAGGCCCAAAACCCAAGCCAAUUUUGAAACCCUAGUCUCCCUUAGCGCCGUACCCUUCCCAUGUGCGUCGUCGGCGCAUCCAACGCCCGAGGUUUGGUUCCUCUCGGCCCCUGGUACCGCUUGCACCAAAAUAGCAGCUCCUGCCUCGUUGACUUUGCCUGCAAAAAAGGAAGAAACAGAAACAAGAACAAAAAGGGCAACAAAGAAACAACAGCAGAAAAAGUAGCAGAAACAUCAAAUUAGAGCAGUGUGAACAGUGGUUAAACAAUAGAAAAAUAAUGACUUGUAAAUCGGCUAUAUAAGACUGAAAAAAAAAGAUUCUGGAGGAUUGAGCAAUCAAAAUAGCAAGAAACUAAGGAAGGUUGAUUUUAUUUCCAUUUUCGUUUUAAGUUCUAAUUUCAUUUAUUCUGUUUUUAUUUUUAUUUUUUUAUAUACGAAAAUAAAUAAAAGAAAAGAGAAAGGGGUCUUACCGAGACCACCCCGUGGCCACAACGUCGGAGUUCUCCUCUCCGUCGCCGUAGUCGAAUUUGAAAGGGGAAAGUGAACCCUUCUCUUUUGCGUUUUUAGGCCGAGAAAGAACGGCCUUCGAGGGGGUCUUUAACCGGGGAUAGAAGGCCCGACUCGCACCGCCCCAACCACCGCUGUGGUGGCGCCGUGACAACGGUGGCGAUGAUAAGUUUCCAAAACCCUAGCUGAAAAGAGAAGGGGAGAGGGAGAGAGCAAAAGCUCUCUGUUUUGUUCUUUAAAAAUGAAAAAAUGAAAUUUUUUUAAAAAAUUUUGGCUUUAAUAGCCAUGCAAAACGGUGACGUUUUGCAAUCCCCCCACACGCCUCAAAACGGCGUAGUUUAGGGGGGAACCCUUGCGACCCGACCCGUUUAGCGGAUAAUCCGUGCGUUUUAAAGCCAAAUUGGCUAUUUGCGCUGUGGGUCCUCCCGCUUUGUCAUUUGUUUACUAUUUGAUCCUUUUGCUCUUUCUUUUGGGUUUUUAAUUUAACCCCAUGACUUUGCUGAGUUUUUCAAUCGGAUCCUCCCACCCAUUGGCACGUUGCGAGCGAACACGUGUCCAGAGGCUGGGUAUUUUGC